rnacentral:rRNA from 1 species
GCAUAACGCGAAGAACCUUACCUAGGCUUGACAUGCAUCUCUAAGCACGUGAAAGCGUGUGACCUUUCGGGGAAUUUGCACAGGUGCUGCAUGGCCGUCGUCAGCUCGUGUCGUGAGAUGUUGGGUUAAGUCCCGCAACGAGCGCAACCCUUAUCCUUAGUUGCUAGCAUUAAGGUGGGCACUCUAAGGAGACUGCCGAUGAUAAAUCGGAGGAAGGUGGGGAUGACGUCAAAUCAUCAUGCCCCUUAUGUCUUGGGCUACACACGUGCUACAAUGGUCGGUACAAAGGGCAGCGAAGGAGUGAUCCGGAGCAAAUCCCAAUAAACCGAUCUCAGUUCGGAUUGUAGGCUGCAACUCGCCUACAUGAAGUCGGAGUUGCUAGUAAUCGCGAAUCAGAACGUCGCGGUGAAUGCGUUCCCGGGUCUUGUACACACCG